rnacentral:rRNA from 1 species
UACGGAGGGUGCGAGCGUUGUCCGGAAUCACUGGGCGUAAAGGGCGCGUAGGCGGCGCGGAUAGUCGGCGGUGAAAGCCCGGAGCUCAACUCCGGGUCGGCCGUCGAUACUUCCGGGCUUGAGCACUGUAGAGGCAGAUGGAAUUCCGGGUGUAGCGGUGGAAUGCGUAGAGAUCCGGAAGAACACCGGUGGCGAAGGCGGUCUGCUGGGCAGUUGCUGACUGGAU